GGAUGCGAUCAUACCAACUCACAUGCACCGGAUCCCAGCUGAACUCCGAAGUUAAGCAAGUCUGAGCGAGAGUAGGACUAGGAUGGGUGACCUCCUGGGAAGUCCUUGUGUUGCAUCCC
rnacentral:rRNA from 1 species